AUACAAGAAUGCAUGAAUUUUUAUGAACACUUUAUGAAUUGCACAAAGCAUAGGGGUAUAUUUCUAUCCCCUAUCGAACCCUAUGUUAAUUUAUAUUAUAUCGAAUCUAUUCCCCUUCUUUCGAAUGCAAAGAAUAAAUCAUCUAAACUCACAUAACAUAUGGCCAAUAAUUAUGGAAGCAAUCAAAUCAUAUAAAUCAAACAAUUGUCC
rnacentral:lncRNA from 1 species